GCGGCGUGCUUCAUACAUGCAAGUCGAACGAGAAGCAGGAGCUUGCUCCUGUGGAAAGUGGCGGACGGGUGAGUAACACGUAGGAAAUCUGCCUUUGGGUGGGGGACAACAGUUGGAAACGACUGCUAAUACCCCAUAUGAGCUUGGUUGCAAUACCAAUCUUGAAAACUCCGGUGCCUAAAGAUGAGCCUGCGUCUGAUUAGCUUGUUGGCGGGGUAAUGGCCCACCAAGGCGACGAUCAGUAGCUGGUUUGAGAGGAUGAUCAGCCACAAUGGGACUGAGACACGGCCCAUACUCCUACGGGAGGCAGCAGUAGGGAAUUUUGCGCAAUGGGGGAAACCCUGACGCAGCGACGCCGCGUGAAUGACGAAGCCCUUCGGGGCGUAAAGUUCUGUCAGUAGGGAAGAAUUUUGACUGUACCUACAAAGGAAGCACCGGCUAACUCCGUGCCAGCCGCCGCAGUAA
rnacentral:rRNA from 1 species